GCGCAGGAGAGGUGUCAAAGAGCUGGCGCGUCUCCAGAGCCCCGGGAGGAAGGCUGUAACGGCAGCCCCAUCGUAGACAGGGACAUUCGCAUCCCGAGCCCUGGAUCUCUGAAAACCAGCCCAGAAUUUGGAAGCUGGAAGGAACUUUAGAUCGUCCAUUCUGAGUGUCUCUCUUCGCUGGCGUUUUCCCACUGAGGUUAUGUAAACAUGAAGAGGAGCCUACAAGUGUCAAGGAAAAAACGACAGCUAACCACAGGGCAGGCCAUGGGCAAGAUAUCUCAGUGUUCUCCGCUCUCAUAGGUCAGGUCACGACCCCCAGGAGACCUGGAGGACUGAAUGCUGCUGCCCCCAAGGAGGAGGCUGCCGUCUUAUCCCAGGAGGGAGAGCAGGUGAAGUCCCCAGGGGAGGAAGCACCUAGCCCCAUUCCUGCUGAGCAGGAGGUGGCAGGUACCCCAGACUGGGAGGUAAGGACAGCCCGGGGCUUCGACUGAACGUCUCCAGCGUGGGUCCAACUGAGCAGCCAUGGAGCACUGCAGAGUGGGAGGCAGCAGGGCAGGGAGGCAGUGCUGGAGGCUGGCUCAACCCCAAGACCAGCAGGCCAAGCUGCCAUCCCAGGGGAGCGAGGACGUCUGUGCAGAGCUGAGAGGCAGCAGCCAUGUGUGAACAGACUGGGCCUCAUCCUGGCCCCACCGACUUUGUGUGGACAGAGCCUGUUUCCCUGUCUGUGCAACACAGAACCUGCCUGAUCUCACUGCUGGAUCCCUCUUCUUCCUGCCAGGAAAAUAAAAAGGUUCAAAAGGAAGUUGCUGCGUAUCCAUCUGAGGCCUCUGAGGACAGCAAAGAGCAAAGGCCCUGGGACCGGGUCUACGUGCCCAUGACAGAGCUCUGGCUGGACUGGUUCUGAGCCUCUAACACCCCCAAGACUCAGAACCGUGAAGAAAAUCUUUCCAAUAAAUCCAAGAGUUGCUGCUGCU
rnacentral:lncRNA from 10 species